GAUGAACGCUAGCUACAGGCUUAACACAUGCAAGUCGAGCGACCGGCGCUUGGGUGAGUUACACGUAUCCAACCUGCCCCUUACCCUGGGUUAGCCUUUCGAAAUAAAGAUUCAUCUCCCCUCUAACGGCGGGGGAUGCGUUCUAUUAGGUUGUUGGUGCGGUAACAGCUCACCAAGCCUUCGAUGGAUAGGGGUUCUGAGAGGAAGGUCCCCCAGAUUGGAGAUGAGACCCAGUCCAAACUGAUACGGGAGGCAGCAGUGAGGAAUAUUGGUCAAUGGGCGUUAGCCUGAACCAGCCAAGUAGCGUGAAGGAUGAAGGCUUAUGGGGCGUAAACUUCUGUUAUAUAAGAAUAGGUAUUAUAUGAAGAAGGAUCGGCUAACUCCGUGCCAGCAGCCGCGGUAAUUC
rnacentral:rRNA from 1 species